rnacentral:rRNA from 1 species
CCUACGGGAGGCAGCAGUGAGGAAUAUUGGUCAAUGGACGGAAGUCUGAACCAGCCAUGCCGCGUGCAGGAUGACGGCUCUAUGAGUUGUAAACUGCUUUUGUAUUAGGGUAAACACCCCUACGUGUAGGGGCUUGAAAGUAUAAUACGAAUAAGGAUCGGCUAACUCCGUGCCAGCAGCCGCGGUAAUACGGAGGAUGCGAGCGUUAUCCGGAUUUAUUGGGUUUAAAGGGUGCGUAGGCGGUAUUUUAAGUUAGUGGUAAAACGUCGGGGCUUCACCUUGAUUGGCCAUUAAAACUGGAGUACUAGAGUACAGACGAGGUAGGCGGAAUAAGUUAAGUAGCGGUGAAAUGCUUAGAUAUAACUUAGAACCCCGAUAGCGAAGGCAGCUUACCAGACUGUUACUGACGCUGAAGCACGAGAGCGUGGGUAGCGAACAGGAUUAGAUACCCCAGUAGUC